rnacentral:rRNA from 1 species
AGUCGAGCGACAGAUAAGGAGCUUGCUCCUUUGACGUUAGCGGCGGACGGGUGAGUAACACGUGGAUAACCUACCUAUAAGACUGGGAUAACUUCGGGAAACCGGAGCUAAUACCGGAUAACAUAUUGAACCGCAUGGUUCAAUAGUGAAAGGCGGCUUUGCUGUCACUUAUAGAUGGAUCCGCGCCGUAUUAGCUAGUUGGUAAGGUAACGGCUUACCAAGGCAACGAUACGUAGCCGACCUGAGAGGGUGAUCGGCCACACUGGAACUGAGACACGGUCCAGACUCCUACGGGAGGCAGCAGUAGGGAAUCUUCCGCAAUGGGCGAAAGCCUGACGGAGCAACGCCGCGUGAGUGAUGAAGGUCUUCGGAUCGUAAAACUCUGUUAUCAGGGAAGAACAAAUGUGUAAGUAACUGUGCACAUCUUGACGGUACCUGAUCAGAAAGCCACGGCUAACUACGUGCCAGCAGCCGCGGUAAUACGUAGGUGGCAAGCGUUAUCCGGAAUUAUUGGGCGUAAAGCGCGCGUAGGCGGUUUUUUUAAGUCUGAUGUGAAAGCCCACGGCUCAACCGUGGAGGGUCAUUGGAAACUGGAAAACUUGAGUGCAGAAGAGGAAAGUGGAAUUCCAUGUGUAGCGGUGAAAUGCGCAGAGAUAUGGAGGAACACCAGUGGCGAAGGCGACUUUCUGGUCUGUAACUGACGCUGAUGUGCGAAAGCGUGGGGAUCAAACAGGAUUAGAUACCCUGGUAGUCCACGCCGUAAACGAUGAGUGCUAAGUGUUAGGGGGUUUCCGCCCCUUAGUGCUGCAGCUAACGCAUUAAGCACUCCGCCUGGGGAGUACGACCGCAAGGUUGAAACUCAAAGGAAUUGACGGGGGACCCGCACAAGCGGUGGAGCAUGUGGUUUAAUUCGAAGCAACGCGAAGAACCUUACCAAAUCUUGACAUCCUUUGACCGCUCUAGAGAUAGAGUCUUCCCCUUCGGGGAACAAAGUGACAGGUGGUGCAUGGUUGUCGUCAGCUCGUGUCGUGAGAUGUUGGGUUAAGUCCCGCAACGAGCGCAACCCUUAAGCUUAGUUGCCAUCAUUAAGUUGGGCACUCUAAGUUGACUGCCGGUGACAAACCGGAGGAAGGUGGGGAUGACGUCAAAUCAUCAUGCCCCUUAUGAUUUGGGCUACACACGUGCUACAAUGGACAAUACAAAGGGCAGCUAAACCGCGAGGUCAAGCAAAUCCCAUAAAGUUGUUCUCAGUUCGGAUUGUAGUCUGCAACUCGACUACAUGAAGCUGGAAUCGCUAGUAAUCGUAGAUCAGCAUGCUAGCGGUGAAUACGUUCCCGGGUCUUGUACACACCGCCCGUCACACCACGAGAGUUUGUAACACCCGAAGCCGGUGGAGUAACCAUUUAUGGAGCUAGCCUC